AAUAGUAUAUGACACCCUGAGCUUGCCCAAUCUCAUCUGAUGUUGGAAGCUAAGCAGGAUCGGGCCUGGUUAGUACUUGGGUGGGUGACUGCCUAGGAAUACCAGGUCCUGGGAAUUU
rnacentral:rRNA from 1 species